UCUCCGUUGGUGAACCAGCGGAGGGAUCAUUACCGAAGUUACCUUCAAAACCCACUGUGAACCUUACCUCUUGCCGCGUUGUCUCGGCGGGAGGCGGUGUGCGUCGCGCGCCCUAGCGGGCCGCGCCGCUCCCGUCCCCGCCGGCAGCGCCAAACUCUAAAUGCACAGCGGACUGUACGUUCUGAUUUACAAAGAAAACAAGUUAAAACUUUCAACAACGGAUCUCUUGGUUCUG
rnacentral:misc_RNA from 1 species